rnacentral:rRNA from 1 species
AGUAAUGUCUGGGAAACUGCCUGAUGGAGGGGGGUAACUACUGGAAACGGUAGCUAAUACCGCAUAACGUCGCAAGACCAAAGUGGGGGACCUUCGGGCCUCAUGCCAUCAGAUGUGCCCAGAUGGGAUUAGCUAGUAGGUGGGGUAACGGCUCACCUAGGCGACGAUCCCUAGCUGGUCUGAGAGGAUGACCAGCCACACUGGAACUGAGACACGGUCCAG